rnacentral:tRNA from 1 species
GCGGUUGUAGCUCAGUCAGGUAGAGCGCCACCCCGCCAAGGUGGAGGCCGCCGGUUCGAACCCGGCCUGCCGCU